rnacentral:rRNA from 1 species
GAUCAUGGCUCAGGAUGAACGCUGGCGGCGUGCCUAAUACAUGCAAGUCGAGCGAGAAUCUGAAGAUCUGCGAUUCGUCAAAGAGAUCAGAGGAAAGCGGCGGACGGGUGAGUAACGCGUAGGCAACCUGCCCCUAGCAGAGGGAUAGCCAUUGGAAACGAUGAUUAAAACCUCAUAAUGCUGUUUUAACACAUGUUGAGACAGCCAAAGAUUUAUCGGCUGGGGAUGGGCCUGCGUCUGAUUAACUAGUUGGUGAGGUAACGGCCCACCAAGGUGACGAUCAGUAGCCGACCUGAGAGGGUGAUCGGCCACAUUGGAACUGAGACACGGUCCAAACUUCUACGGAAGGCAGCAGUAAGGAAUCUUGCACAAUGGGGGAAACCCUGAAUGCAGCAACGCCGCGUGAACGAUGAAGGCCUUAGGGUUGUAAAGUUCUGAUCUGGGGGAAGAAGAAGUGACGGUACCCCAGGAGAAAGCCCCGGCUAAAUACGUGCCAGCAGCCGC